UGGGGUAACCGGGGGAGCUCAAGCAGGGCUGAGAGGAGGCGGAGGCCUCGACCCCUGGAACCUGACCUGGGUAAUGCCAGCGUAGGGAGGGUUACCCACAAGCCGG
rnacentral:ncRNA from 2 species